rnacentral:rRNA from 1 species
GGUUAAGCGACUAAGCGUACACGGUGGAUGCCCUGGCAGUCAGAGGCGAUGAAGGACGUGCUAAUCUGCGAAAAGCGUCGGUAAGGUGAUAUGAACCGUUAUAGCCGGCGAUGUCCGAAUGGGGAAACCCAGUGUGAUUCGUCACACUAUCGUUAACUGAAUACAUAGGUUAACGAGGCGAACCGGGGGAACUGAAACAUCUAAGUACCCCGAGGAAAAGAAAUCAACCGAGAUUCCCCCAGUAGCGGCGAGCGAACGGGGAGCAGCCCAGAGUCUGAAUCAGCUUGUGUGUUAGUGGAACGGUCUGGAAAGUCCGACGGUACAGGGUGAUAGUCCCGUACACCAAAAUGCACAGGUUGUGAACUCGAAGAGUAGGGCGGGACACGUGGUAUCCUGUCUGAAUAUGGGGGGACCAUCCUCCAAGGCUAAAUACUCCUGACUGACCGAUAGUGAACCAGUACCGUGAGGGAAAGGCGAAAAGAACCCCGGCGAGGGGAGUGAAAAAGAACCUGAAACCGUGUACGUACAAGCAGUGGGAGCACCUUCGGGUGUGACUGCGUACCUUUUGUAUAAUGGGUCAGCGACUUAUAUUCUGUAGCAAGGUUAACCGUAUAGGGGAGCCGCAGGGAAACCGAGUCUUAACUGGGCGUUAAGUUGCAGGGUAUAGACCCGAAACCCGGUGAUCUAGCCAUGGGCAGGUUGAAGGUUGGGUAACACUAACUGGAGGACCGAACCGACUAAUGUUGAAAAAUUAGCGGAUGACUUGUGGCUGGGGGUGAAAGGCCAAUCAAACCGGGAGAUAGCUGGUUCUCCCCGAAAGCUAUUUAGGUAGCGCCUCGUGAACUCAUCUUCGGGGGUAGAGCACUGUUUCGGCUAGGGGGUCAUCCCGACUUACCAACCCGAUGCAAACUACGAAUACCGAAGAAUGUUAUCACGGGAGACACACGGCGGGUGCUAACGUCCGUCGUGAAGAGGGAAACAACCCAGACCGCCAGCUAAGGUCCCAAAGUCAUGGUUAAGUGGGAAACGAUGUGGGAAGGCACAGACAGCCAGGAUGUUGGCUUAGAAGCAGCCAUCAUUUAAAGAAAGCGUAAUAGCUCACUGGUCGAGUCGGCCUGCGCGGAAGAUGUAACGGGGCUAAACCAUGCACCGAAGCUGCGGCAGCGACACUAUGUGUUGUUGGGUAGGGGAGCGUUCUGUAAGCCUGCGAAGGUGACCUGUGAGGGUUGCUGGAGGUAUCAGAAGUGCGAAUGCUGACAUAAGUAACGAUAAAGCGGGUGAAAAGCCCGCUCGCCGGAAGACCAAGGGUUCCUGUCCAACGUUAAUCGGGGCAGGGUGAGUCGACCCCUAAGGCGAGGCCGAAAGGCGUAGUCGAUGGGAAACAGGUUAAUAUUCCUGUACUUGGUGUUACUGCGAAGGGGGGACGGAGAAGGCUAUGUUAGCCGGGCGACGGUUGUCCCGGUUUAAGCAUGUAGGCUGAUUGUCCAGGCAAAUCCGGAUAAUCAAGGCUGAGGUGUGAUGACGAGGCACUACGGUGCUGAAGUAACAAAUGCCCUGCUUCCAGGAAAAGCCUCUAAGCAUCAGGUAACAUCAAAUCGUACCCCAAACCGACACAGGUGGUCAGGUAGAGAAUACCAAGGCGCUUGAGAGAACUCGGGUGAAGGAACUAGGCAAAAUGGUGCCGUAACUUCGGGAGAAGGCACGCUGGUGUGUAGGUGAAGCCCCUGCGGGUGGAGCUGAGACCAGUCGAAGAUACCAGCUGGCUGCAACUGUUUAUUAAAAACACAGCACUGUGCAAACACGAAAGUGGACGUAUACGGUGUGACGCCUGCCCGGUGCCGGAAGGUUAAUUGAUGGGGUUAUCCGUAAGGAGAAGCUCUUGAUCGAAGCCCCGGUAAACGGCGGCCGUAACUAUAACGGUCCUAAGGUAGCGAAAUUCCUUGUCGGGUAAGUUCCGACCUGCACGAAUGGCGUAAUGAUGGCCAGGCUGUCUCCACCCGAGACUCAGUGAAAUUGAACUCGCUGUGAAGAUGCAGUGUACCCGCGGCAAGACGGAAAGACCCCGUGAACCUUUACUAUAGCUUGACACUGAACAUUGAGCCUUGAUGUGUAGGAUAGGUGGGAGGCUUUGAAGCGUGGACGCCAGUCUGCGUGGAGCCAACCUUGAAAUACCACCCUUUAAUGUUUGAUGUUCUAACGUUGGCCCCUGACCGGGGUUGCGGACAGUGUCUGGUGGGUAGUUUGACUGGGGCGGUCUCCUCCCAAAGCGUAACGGAGGAGCACGAAGGUUAGCUAAUCCUGGUCGGACAUCAGGAGGUUAGUGCAAUGGCAUAAGCUAGCUUGACUGCGAGCGUGACGGCGCGAGCAGGUGCGAAAGCAGGUCAUAGUGAUCCGGUGGUUCUGAAUGGAAGGGCCAUCGCUCAACGGAUAAAAGGUACUCCGGGGAUAACAGGCUGAUACCGCCCAAGAGUUCAUAUCGACGGCGGUGUUUGGCACCUCGAUGUCGGCUCAUCACAUCCUGGGGCUGAAGUAGGUCCCAAGGGUAUGGCUGUUCGCCAUUUAAAGUGGUACGCGAGCUGGGUUUAGAACGUCGUGAGACAGUUCGGUCCCUAUCUGCCGUGGGCGCUGGAGAAUUGAGGGGGGCUGCUCCUAGUACGAGAGGACCGGAGUGGACGCAUCACUGGUGUUCGGGUUGUCAUGCCAAUGGCACUGCCCGGUAGCUAAAUGCGGAAGAGAUAAGUGCUGAAAGCAUCUAAGCACGAAACUUGCCCCGAGAUGAGUUCUCCCUGAGACUUUAAGUCUCCUGAAGGAACGUUAAAGACGAUGACGUUGAUAGGCCGGGUGUGUAAGCGCAGCGAUGCGUUGAGCUAACCGGUACUAAUGAACCGUGAGGCUUAACCUU